AUUGAACGCUAGCGGGAUGCUUUACACAUGCAAGUCGAACGAGUGGCGGACGGGUGAGUAAUAUAUCGGAACGUGCCCAGUAGCGGGGUAUAACUACUCGAAAGGGUUGCUAAUACCGCCUAAUAUUGGAUCUGCCGAUAUCGGAUGAGCUAGUUGGUGGGGUAAAGGCUCACCAAGGCAACGAUCCGUAGCUGGUUUGAGAGGACGACCAGCCACACUGGGACGGAGACACGGACCAGACUCCUACGGGAGGCAGCAGUGGGGAAGUUUGGACAAUGGGGGAAACCCGGAUCCAGCCAUCCCGCGUGUAUGAGAAGGCCUUCGGGUUGUAAAGUACUUUUGGCAGAGAAGCGGUAUCUGCAGAAUAAGCACCGGCUAACUACGUGCCAGCAGCCGCGGUAAUAC
rnacentral:rRNA from 1 species